GAUGAACGCUGGCGGCGUGCUUAACACAUGCAAGUCGAACGAUGAAGCCCAGCUUGCUGGGUGGAUUAGUGGCGAACGGGUGAGUAACACGUGAGUAAUCCGCCCCUGACUCUGGGAUAAGCCUGGGAAACUGGGUCUAAUACUGGAUAUGACUCCUCAUCGCAUGGGGGGGGGUGGAGAGACUGAUUGGUCUUGGAUGGUCUCGCGGCCUAUCAGCUUGUUGGUGAGGUAAUGGCUCACCAAGGCGACGACGGGUAGCCGGCCUGAGAGGGUGACCGGCCACACUGGGACUGAGACACGGCCCAGACUCCUACGGGAGGCAGCAGUGGGGAAUAUUGCACAAUGGGCGCAAGCCUGAUGCAGCGACGCCGCGUGAGGGAUGACGGCCUUCGGGUUGUAAACCUCUUUCAGUAGGGAAGAAGCGAGAGUGACGGUACCUGCAGAAGAAGCGCCGGCUAACUACGUG
rnacentral:rRNA from 1 species